AUUGAACGCUGGUGGCAUGCCUUACACAUGCAAGUCGAACGGCAGCGCGGACUUCGGUCUGGCGGCGAGUGGCGAACGGGUGAGUAAUACAUCGGAACGUACCCUGUUGUGGGGGAUAACUAGUCGAAAGAUUAGCUAAUACCGCAUACGACCUGAGGGUGAAAGUGGGGGACCGCAAGGCCUCACGCAGCAGGAGCGGCCGAUGUCUGAUUAGCUAGUUGGUGGGGUAAAGGCCCACCAAGGCGACGAUCAGUAGCUGGUCUGAGAGGACGAUCGGCCACACUGGGACGGAGACACGGCCCAGACUCCUACGGGAGGCAGCAGUGGGGAAUUUUGGACAAUGGGGGCAACCCUGAUCCAGCAAUGCCGCGUGUGUGAAGAAGGCCUUCGGGUUGUAAAGCACUUUUGUCCGGAAAGAAAUCGCGCUGGUUAAUACCUGGCGUGGAUGACGGUACCGGAAGAAUAAGCACCGGCUAACUACGUGCCAGCCGCCGCAGUAA
rnacentral:rRNA from 1 species